rnacentral:rRNA from 1 species
UACGUAGGGGGCAAGCGUUGUUCGGAAUUACUGGGCGUAAAGGGCGCGUAGGCGGCACGGCAAGUCAGGAGUGAAAGCCCUGGGCUCGACCCGGGAACUGCUUUUGAAACUGCCGAGCUAGAGUGCGGAAGGGGCAACUGGAAUUCCCAGUGUAGCGGUGAAAUGCGUAGAUAUCAGGAGGAACACCGGUGGCGAAGGCGGGUCUCUGGGCCGAUACUGACGCUGAGGAGCGAAAGCGUGGGGAGCGAACAGG